rnacentral:rRNA from 1 species
AGCAGCCGCGGUAAUUCCAGCUCCAAUAGUGUAUAUUAAAGUUGUUGCAGUUAAAAAGCUCGUAGUUGAAUUUCGGGAUCAAUGUUUCGGUCAUGCCGUUGGUAUGUACUGAUAUUAUUGGUUUCUCACCUUCUAAAGAACCGUAAUGCCAUUAAUUUGGUGUCACGGGGAAUUAGGACUGUUACCUUGAAAAAAUUAGAGUGUUUAAAGCAGGCUAACGCUUGAAUACAUUAGCAUGGAAUAAUGAAAUAGGACAUCCGAUUCUAUUUUGUUGGUUUCUAGGAUCGAUGUAAUGAUUAAUAGGGAUAGUUGGGGGCAUUAGUAUUCAAUUGUCAGAGGUGAAAUUCUUGGAUUUAUUGAAGACUAACUACUGCGAGAGCAUUUGCCAAGGAUGUUUUCAUUAAUCAAGAAUGAAAGUUAGGGGAUCGAAGACGAUCAGAUACCGUCGUAGUCUUAACCAUAAACUAUGCCGACUAGGGAUCGGAUGAUGUUAAUUUUUUAAUGACUC